rnacentral:rRNA from 1 species
AGUGGCGCACGGGUGAGUAACACGUGAAUUAUCUACCUCCGAGUGGGGAAUAACCUAGAGAAAUCUGGGCUAAUACCGCAUAACACUUACGAGUCAAAGCAGCAAUGCGCUUGGAGAGGAGUUCGCGGCCGAUUAGUUAGUUGGCGGGGUAAUGGCCCACCAAGACGAUGAUCGGUAUCCGGCCUGAGAGGGCGCACGGACACACUGGAACUGAAACACGGUCCAGACUCCUACGGGAGGCAGCAGUGGGGAAUUUUGCGCAAUGGGGGAAACCCUGACGCAGCAACGCCGCGUGGAGGAUGAAAUCCCUUGGGAUGUAAACUCCUUUCGAUCGGGACGAUUAUGACGGUACCGGAAGAAGAAGCCCCGGCUAAAUUUUUUUUUCGCGACAGCAGCCGAAAAAAUAGGAGGGGGGCAAGCUUUUUCGUAAUUAUUGGGCGUAAAGGGCGCGUAGGCGGUUUGACAAGUCUGAUGUGAAAUCUCUGGGCUCAACCCAAAGUCUGCAUUAGA